UUCGCAAUGCCCGAAAGGGUGACGAAGCGACGCCGCGUGUGGGAAGAAGGCCUUCGGGUUGUAAACCACUGUCGGGAGUUAAGAAAUGUAAGGGUGUUAAUAGCGCCUUUACUUGACAAAGGCUCCGGAGGAAGCCACGGCUAACUCUGUGCCAGCAGCCGCGGUAAUACAGAGGCGGCAAGCGUUGUUCGGAAUUAUUGGGCGUAAAGAGCACGUAGGCGGCUUUGCAAGUCAGUUGUGAAAGCCUUCCGCUUAACGGAAGAACAGCAGCUGAUACUACAGAGCUUGAGUACGGGAGGGGAGAGUGGAACUUCUGGUGGAGCGGUGAAAUGUGUGGAUAUCAGAAGGAACGCCGGCGGCGAAAGCGAUUCUCUGGUCCGAAACUGACGCUGAGUGUGCGAAAGCUAGGGGAUCAAACGGGAUUAGAUACCCCGGUAGUCCUAGCCGUAAACGAUGGGCACUAAGUAGAGGGGUUUU
rnacentral:rRNA from 1 species